AGCGGAGGAAAAGAAACCAACAGGGAUUGCCUCAGUAACGGCGAGUGAAGCGGCAAAAGCUCAAAUUUGAAAUCUGGCUCUUUCAGGGUCCGAGUUGUAAUUUGUAGAAGAUGUUUCGGGUGUGGUCCCAGUCUAAGUUCCCUGGAACUGGACAUCACAGAGGGUGAGAAUCCCGUAUGUGACUGGGUACCUACGUCCAUGUGAAACUCUUUCGACGAGUCGAGUUGUUUGGGAAUGCAGCUCAAAAUGGGUGGUAAAUUUCAUCUAAAGCUAAAUAUUGGCCAGAGACCGAUAGCGCACAAGUAGAGUGAUCGAAAGAUGAAAAGCACUUUGGAAAGAGAGUUAAACAGUACGUGAAAUUGUUGAAAGGGAAGGGCAUGCAAUCAGACUUGCGCCUAGUUGAUCAUCCGGGCUUUUGCCCGGUGCACUCGAUUAGGCUCAGGCCAGCAUCAGUUUAGAGGGUUGGAUAAAGGCCUUGGGAAUGUGGCCCCUCUCGGGGGGUGUUAUAGCCCAAGGUGCAAUGCAGCCACUCUGGACUGAGGACCGCGCUUCGGCUAGGAUGCUGGCGUAAUGGUUGUAUGCCGCCCGUC
rnacentral:rRNA from 1 species